AGGGAGUGUGUGAAAAUCAGGGGUUCUCAAACUGGGGGUCAGGACCCCUCAGGCAGUCACAAGGUUCUUACCUGGGUAGUCGCGAGCUGUUAGCCUCCACCCCAAACCCCGCUUUGCCUCCAGCAUUUAUAAUGGUGUUAAAUAUA